rnacentral:rRNA from 1 species
AUACGGAGGGUGCAAGCGUUGUUCGGAUUUACUGGGCGUAAAGGGCGUGUAGGCGGAUAUGCAAGCUGGAGGUGAAAGCCCCGGGCUCAACCCGGGAAUUACUUUGUAGAACUGCAUAUCUAGAGAAAGUCAGAGGCAUGUGGAAUUCCAGGUGUAGAGGUGAAAUUCGUAGAGAUCUGGAGGAACACCGGCGGCGAAGGCGGCCUGCUGGGGCUUUUCUGACGCUGAGGCGCGAAAGCGUGGGUAGCAAACGGGAUUAGAAACCCCGGUAGUCC